ensembl:lncRNA
GUAUAGGUUAAUAAGCCAUAUCUGUUUAUUGUCCAAUAACAUAUUUAAAAUAAUCCAUCUACCUUGAUGAUCUGUUUUGACAAUUUGCACAUUUGGAUCAAAAUGACUGUUAAUUAAAACCAUCACCCCCUUUAUAUUUCUCCCAUGGGCAAAGAAAUUCACUUUCCCCCUCCCAGUCCUUUUUCCACAAAACUUCAUCUAAAACUGUUGAAUGGGUUUCCUGUAAACAAUAGAUAUUAUAUUACUUCUCUUUUAGCCAGGUAAAUACUGAUUGUCUUUUCUUAUUAUCUGCUAAGCCAUUACAAUUGUACUGGCUAUACUUAUUUCACCACUUACCAUAAUGAGACAAAUUUCAAUUCUAUUUAUCAAAAUAUAUGUUUGUGAACGUACCAUUAAAAAGUAACAUGAUGAUUGAGUGUCUAUGUAGCUGUACCAUGAUAUUUGCAUUGCUACUAAGUAAACAUCCAAUUGGUCCCCACUAUUCCACCCGCUAAAAGCUCUCCUCAUCCCGAGUUGGGUUGUUAUCCCAAUGUCCAACAGACCACCCCCGACACCCCGUAUCCCAUAGCCCUGAAAAGACUGGGAUCCAUCCUUUGAAAAGAGCACACAGUGCCAUUUACAGAACAGAAGUAUAUCAACCGCCAAAUGCAUUUCCAUCACCCUCACCUCGAUUUGUAUUAUAUAUAGCAAUCAAAAAAAAAAAUACAAAAAAAAAUAUAUAUAUAUAUAUAUAUAUAUAUAUAAAAAAAAUCAUAUUUCUUAAUUUCCAUAAAUAGCUAUUCGUAUUUGUAGUAAUGUAGGCAAUUUAUGCAAAGGAUUUUACCUGUCACCAGUCUCGCCAUUACCAAAUUUACAUUAUUGCAAGCAAUUAUUAUAUUAGCAAACAAUUAUUGUGAAUCAUCCUAUAUUUUCCCUAACAUCUUUUACUUCUUCGCAACAGUUGUGGGAUACGCACAUACACACUCAACCCUUUCCCCCCACACAACCCUAGGCUCACAUUCUCAACAAUUGCCCCAUCCCAGAGCCCAACUCAAGAUAGGUCUUGAUUUACGAAUGCAUAUACAGUUGCAGCUGUAUGAGAAGGCCUGCAAGACCGUGCAGGCAAAUGUGCAGAAAUGUAGAGAUUUUAUUAACAAUUGCCACGUCCUAGAUGAUGGAGGUCAAAUGUACACCUUUUCCCUGAAACACCCACAACACGGUCCCCCGUACUGACCAUAAUCCCAAGCAUCUCCAUGCAGUCAGACUUUUGAUUUUGUGCCACCGGG